rnacentral:lncRNA from 1 species
AAGAAAUGAGUCAUAGGAUAAAGAUGGAGAUUUCUGUAAAAUUUUUGAAAAAUAAAUCUGGCUAUCUUUAUUUUUUGAUGUCCCUUCCACUGCCACCCCUAAAAAACUCUAGCCUUACUAGGAUCAAUUGCCAGGGGACCUGAAGUGCCCUCAGCCAACUACAUGUCAUAUCUGAAAUGAUUCCAGGCUCUACAUCCCACCAUCUGCUUAAAACCUUCCUUGUCAUCUGGUCCCCUCUGCUGCAGAUGUCUCUAGCUUCUUUCCUCCUCUUGAGUAGCCUGUGUAGAUUCGCAAUCAAAUUCCAGACAGCCUCCUUUGCUCUGACCUGGCAUAACCCUAAGAGGUAGCUUCUCAUAUGAAUUAUUGGGCUCCACCUGAUCAUAUCCAUCCUUGCCAUUUUAUCUUUAUUUGCCUAACACGUAUUAGACAUUUACUUAAGUCAGACACUGGUUAGUUCUUCUCCUGCAUUAAAUCCAUUUACUUUUCAAAAAGAUGCCAUAUGGUAGCUCAUAUCAUUGUCCUUAUUUUACAGAGAGUAACAUAAAGUUUUAGAGAGAUAAAAUAUAUCUAAGAUAGCUCAGAAACUAGGGGGCCAAGAUGGGAAUUAAAGCCAGAAUAUGGAACCUAUUUUCUUAUGACCCACACUGUGUUGGGCAGUGCUACAGACCAAGACAAAAGCACCUAAAACUGAUUGCAUUUCCUGUGUAUGAGGAGUCAUGAGCCUGUUUCCCCAGUUGUUACAUGUUUGGAUGUGGUUUGUCCCCAACGAAACUCAUGUUGAAAUUUGACCCCCAAUGUAGCAGAGUUGAGAGGUGGGCCUAGUGAGAGGUAUCUGGGUCAUGAAGGUGGAUUUUCUAUGAAUAGAUGAAGACCUUUCUCCUAAAGGGAUUGGCUUUGCUCACUUCUGACUUAGGGAAAUAGCAGGGAAAAUGGAAGAUUUAUAUGCCACAUAUGUUGAACUAAGGUGGUCACUUAAUUUACAAUUUAGACAAAUGAAGGCAUGUGUUGUUAUAACCAGUUCAAAGAUUAGAAAACAGGAGUUCAGAGGCAUGUUUAAUUUUCCAAUGGCCAGCAGUUAGUAGAUGAUAGAGACCAUUGAAUUUCAAGCCAUGCUCUUCUUCCUGUCUUCUCUCAGUGAAAAUUAAAUGUUACUGCUUCUGUUGUAACAGCAAAACUUUAAGCCCCUCCACCAACCAAACUUAUUUUCCCUUUUUUAUUCAGGCAGACCAGCAAAUAAACUGCUUUUUGCCUAGUAAGGAAGCCAUUUGUUGACAAUUUUUGCUUUCUUCCCAAGCAAAGGAAACAAACUCAUUUCUAACAAAAUAAUAGCAUCAACAUUUUCAAUUUGUGGGUAGAAACUUUUCCUUUGCUUCAUCACUAGGCAAACAUAUUUUCCUCAUAGAUGUCAGUGAUCUAAUUUUGUGUUUGCCUUUAUCAGUAACAUUGCAAAAUCAAUAUUUAUUCCUUCUUUCACUUGUU